UAGCCAUGAUGAGAGCAUUGACUUAAGAGAUCUUUGAAUCUUUCCCAAACUUAAUAGAACAUUUCAUUGUCUUUUUAGGAAAUGUGGAAAUCUGUUGUUUUAGACU